rnacentral:rRNA from 1 species
UACGUAGGGGCCGAGCGUUGUCCGGAGUUAUUGGGCGUAAAGCGCGCGCAGGCGGCUUCACGCGCCCGGCGUGAAAGCCCCCCGGCUUAACCGGGGAGGGUCGUCGGGGACGGUGGAGCUUGAGGGCGGGAGAGGUCGGUGGAAUUCCCGGUGUAGUGGUGAAAUGCGUAGAGAUCGGGAGGAACACCUGUGGCGAAGGCGGCCGACUGGGCCGACCCUGACGCUGAGGCGCGAAGGCGUGGGGAGCGAACGGG